AUUGAACGCUGGCGGCAGGCCUAACACAUGCAAGUCGAGCGGAUGAGAGGAGCUCGCUUCUCGAUUCAGCGGCGGACGGGUGAGUAAUGCCUAGGAAUCUGCCUGAUAGUGGGGGACAACGUUUCGAAAGGAACGCUAAUACCGCAUACGUCCUACGGGAGAAAGCAGGGGACCUUCGGGCCUUGCGCCAUCAGAUGAGCCUAGGUCGGAUUAGCUAGUUGGUGAGGUAAUGGCUCACCAAGGCGACGAUCCGUAACUGGUCUGAGAGGAUGAUCAGUCACACUGGAACUGAGACACGGUCCAGACUCCGACGGGAGGCAGCAGUGGGGAAUAUUGGACAAUGGGCGAAAGCCUGAUCCAGCCAUGCCGCGUGUGCGAAGAAGGUCUUCGGAUUGUAAAGCACUUUAAGUUGGGAGGAAGGGUUGUAGAUUAAUACUCUGCAAUUUUGACGUUACCGACAGAAUAAGCACCGGCUAACUCUGUGCCAGCAGCCGCCGUAAGAC
rnacentral:rRNA from 1 species